UACGUAGGUGGCGAGCGUUAUCCGGAAUGAUUGGGCGUAAAGGGUGCGCAGGCGGUCCUGCAAGUCUGGAGUGAAACGCAUGAGCUCAACUCAUGCAUGGCUUUGGAAACUGGAGGACUGGAGAGCAGGAGAGGGCGGUGGAACUCCAUGUGUAGCGGUAAAAUGCGUAGAUAUAUGGAAGAACACCAGUGGCGAAGGCGGCCGCCUGGCCUGUUGCUGACGCUGAGGCACGAAAGCGUGGGGAGCAAAUAGG
rnacentral:rRNA from 2 species